rnacentral:tRNA from 1 species
UCCCUGGUGGCUCAGACGGUAAAGCGUCUGCCUGCAAUGCGGGAGACCCGGGUUCGAUCCCUGGGUCGGGAA